rnacentral:sRNA from 32 species
UAUCUCUCCGUACGGGGAAGGAUGAGAAGCUUCGACUAAGGUUCGAUUCGAGCGCAGCGAGAAAGCGUUGCCGUAGGCAACGACCCGAAGGGCGAAGCGCGCAGCGCUGAGUAAUCCUUCCCCCACCACCA